AGCUUUGCGCAGUGACAGUAUCGUAGCCAAUGAGGUUUAGCCAAGGCGCAAUUAUUGCUAAUUGAAAACUUUUUCCAAUACCCCGCCACGACGACUUGAGAUAUAGUUGUCAUUGGCAAUUUUUGGCAGUCUCUAUGGAAA
rnacentral:snRNA from 13 species